CCUACGGGUGGCAGCAGUGGGGAAUAUUGCACAAUGGGGGAAACCCUGAUGCAGCGACGCCGCGGGAGUGAAGAAGUAUUUCGGUAUGUAAAGCUCUAUCAGCAGGGAAGAAAAUGACGGUACCUGAUUAAGAAGCCACGGCUUACGACGAGCCAGCAGCCGCGGGAAUACGUAGGGGGCAAGCGUUAUCCGGAUUUACUGGGUGUAAAGGGGGCGUAGACGGCAGCACUAGUCGGGAGUGAAAUGCCGGGUGUUAACCCCGGCACUGCUUUGGAAACUGUGCAGCUAGAGUGCAGGAGGGGUAAGUGGAAUUCCUAGUGUAGCGGUGAACUGCGUAGAUAUUAGGCGGAACACCAGUGGCGAAGGCGGCUUACUGGACUGUAACUGACGUUGAGGCUCGAAAGCGUGGGGAGCAAACAGGAUUAGAUACCCGUGUAGUC
rnacentral:rRNA from 1 species